AAAUACAAGCAUAUAUACACAUGUAGAUGCAUGCAUCCACUCACAUACAUAUACAUAUAUUCAAUUUGUGGCCACAGCAGCACCAGCUUAUACGACUUCAAGACAGUUUCAUUUUACCUGCGCUCCAGCGCUGAGUGGACUCUUUUGUGUUGCUGAGUGGACGUGUCUGGCGCGAUAAAAACCGACGGAACAACCACGGAAUAAAAAAUUUAUUUACAUGCAACUUUAUAUUAGCAAAAAUAUAUUUAAUAGACAUUUUGCUUUGUGUCGAUUACGUCUACGUGAAUUUAUAGAUAUAUAAAAACCAAGAGUUUGUGCUUACUGUGAAGAAAAAUUUCGUACUUCAUCAAGGAAAACCAACAAUAAUACCAACAACAAGGUUAUAAGCAAAUCUCUAUCCGUGCAAUCAGUUUGUGUCGCAAUGAAAUGAAAUCGCGGUUAAAAAAUAAUCACACUUCAAAACGUAAUCUGCAAAAAAAAA